rnacentral:rRNA from 1 species
CCCUUAGAUGUUCUGGGCCGCACGCGCGCUACACUGAUGCAUUCAACGAGUGUACCUUGGCCGAGAGGCCUGGGCAAUCUUUUGAACGUGCAUCGUGAUAGGGAUAGAUUAUUGCAAUUAUUAAUCUUGAACGAGGAAUUCCUAGUAAACGCAGUUCAUCAAACUGCAUUGAUUACGUCCCUGCCCUUUGUACACACCGCCCGUCGCACCUACCGAUUGGGUGGUCCGGUGAAGCCUCGGGAUUGUGGCGGUUGCCUUUAUUGGUGGCCGCCGCGAGAACUUGUCUAAACCUUAUCAUCUAGAGGAAGGUGAAGUCGUAACA